rnacentral:rRNA from 1 species
UACAGGGGGGGGCAAGCGUUGUUCGGAAUUACUGGGCGUAAAGGGUUCGUAGGUGGCCACCUAAGUCAGACGUGAAAUCCCUCAGCUUAACUGGGGAACUGCGUCUGAUACUGGGUGGCUUGAGUGCAGGAGAGGAAUGCGGAAUUCCAGGUGUAGCGGUGAAAUGCGUAGAUAUCUGGAGGAAUACCGGUGGCGAAGGCGGCAUCCUGGACCGACAUUGACGCUGAGGAGCGAAAGCUAGGGGAGCGAACAGG